CGACCUCAAUUGCAGGUAGACUUCGUCCGGACUCCUACGGGAGCCGGACUUCACCCUCGACUUCAAUUGCAAGUAGACUUCGCCCGGACUCCUACGGGAGCCGGAUCUCAUCCCCAACUCUGACUGCAGGAAGACUUCGUCUGGACUCCUACGGGAGCCGAACUUCAUCCCCGACUCCGACUGUAGGAAGACUUCGUCCGGACUCCUACGGGAGCUGGACUUCAUCUCCAACUUG
rnacentral:lncRNA from 1 species